AAACUUUCAACAACGGAUCUCUUGGUUAGACCAUCGAUGAAGAACGCAGCGAAAUGCGAUAAGUAAUGUGAAUUGCAGAAUCCAGUGAAUCAUCGAAUCUUUGAACGCACAUUGCGCUCCCUGGUAUUCCGGGGAGCAUGCCUGUUCGAGCGUCAUUACAACCCUCACG
rnacentral:rRNA from 1 species